rnacentral:rRNA from 1 species
UACGAAGGGGGCGAGCGUUGUUCGGAAUUACUGGGCGUAAAGGGCGCGUAGGCGGCGACCCAAGUCAGAUGUGAAAGUCCUGGGCUUAACCUGGGGACUGCAUUUGAUACUGGGUUGCUUGAAUUCGGGAGAGGAUAGCGGAAUUCCCAGUGUAGAGGUGAAAUUCGUAGAUAUCUGGAGGAACACCGGUGGCGAAGGCGGCAUCCUGGACCGACAUUGACGCUGAGGCGCGAAAGCCAGGGAG